CAGAGGGUUGCCAAGCCGCGAGGUGGAGACCAAUCCCUUUAAAGCCGGUCUCAGUCCGGAUUGGAGUCUGCAACUCGACUCCAUGAAGUUGGAAUCGCUAGUAAUCGCGGAUCAGCACGCUGCGGUGAAUACGUUCCCGGGCCUU
rnacentral:rRNA from 1 species